rnacentral:rRNA from 1 species
AUUGAACGCUGGCGGCAUGCCUUACACAUGCAAGUCGAACGGUCCCCUUGCUUCGGAUGCUGACGAGUUUCGAACGGGUGAGUAAUACAUCGGAACGUGCCUAGUAGUGGGGGAUAACUUCUCGAAAGAGUGGCUAAUACCGCAUGAGAUCUACGGAUGAAAGCAGGGGAUCGCAAGACCUUGUGCUACUAGAGCGGCCGAUGGCAGAUUAGGUAGUUGGUGGGAUAAAAGCUUACCAAGCCGACGAUCUGUAGCUGGUCUGAGAGGACGAUCAGCCACACUGGGACUGAGACACGGCCCAGACUCCUACGGGAGGCAGCAGUGGGGAAUUUUGGACAAUGGGCGCAAGCCUGAUCCAGCAAUGCCGCGUGCAGGAUGAAGGCCUUCGGGUUGUAAACUGCUUUUGUACGGAACGAAAAGCCCCGGGUUAAUACCCUGGGGUCAUGACGGUACCGUAAGAAUAAGCACCGGCUAACUACGUGCCAGCCGCCGCCGUAA